GACGAACGCUGGCGGCGUGCUUAACACAUGCAAGUCGAACGGAAAGGCCCUGCUUUUUUGUGGUGCUCGAGUGGCGAACGGGUGAGUAACACGUGAGUAACCUGCCCUUGACUUUGUGAUAACUUCAGGAAACUGGGGCUAAUACCGGAUAGGAGCUCCUGCUGCAUGGUGGUGGUUGGAAAGUUUCGGCGGUUGGGGAUGGACUCGCGGGUUAUCAGCUUGUUGGUGGGGUAGUGGCUUACCAAGGCUUUGACGGGUAGCCGGCAUGAGAGGGUGACCGGGGACCUUGGGACUGAGAGACGGCGCAGACUCCAACGGGAGGCAGCAGUGGGGAAUAUUGCACAAUGGGCGGAAGCCUGAUGCAGCAACGCUGCGUGCGGGAUGACGGCCUUCGGGUUGUAAACCGCUUUAGCCUGUGACGAAGCGUGAGUGACGGUAAUGGGUAAAGAAGCACCGGCUAACUACGUG
rnacentral:rRNA from 1 species